rnacentral:sRNA from 1 species
GUAACCAUUGUCAUCGUUGGAAUGAAUUAUGCUUUCAUUACCUGGCUGACUUCUGGGCCUCAUCUCCUUAGGGGCUGGAAAGCCUUCAAGAUCAGUGCCAGCAUCCAAGGAAAUGCUCUUCCUCAUGUCAGCUCCCCUCCAGAGCCAAAAGAAGACUACUGUCUCUUCCUGUUUCAAAACGCUUCAUACCCCUAACGGGCCUCUUAUCCACUUAUAGUACUCUGGAUACUGGACACUCCAUUUUUUAUUUUCCAACCUUCCCCUCUACCCCCAACACAUAUUAUCCUAAUCUUUCUGACCACGCAGUUCCCUCCACCUAGCAUAUUCACAUUAAAUGCACGUCUUUUCUAUGAAAUCUUCUGUGAUGACUCUAGCUCUUGCUCAUCUCCCUUUAAGAGUUUUUGUUUUUGUUUUCAAAUACACCACAAAAGAUUUUAUUAUGAAAAACAUAUGGGUAAAAUGUAGCAACUAGGCGAUUUACAAAAUGUUCUAUUAUUGCAUAAAACUAUCUUUGGUCUAUCACCUUCUAAAACUUCUUACACUCUUUCUUGGUGUUAGGUCAAACCUGCAAAUGCUUCAUCUGUUCUCCAUAUCAUUAGAGCUCCAUCUUCCACAAAUAUUUUAAGAUAGACCUUCCCUCCACAAUCAUUACUCCCACAGUCUUAAUGUAACCAGUGAACAUGGACAGCAGCCGUCCAAUAUACAUUCACAUUAUCAAAACAUGAUGGAAGCUGUAGAUAUGCCUAAAUGUCCAUGUUAGUACAUAUUUUGUCUAGUAGAGUCCUUGAUUCUUUUUUUAAUUUUUUUUGCCAACAAGUAUUGUUUACUGCACAUAUAUAAAGAUGAUUUAAUUUUGAAAAAUUUGUUAAUUAAAUGUACCCUAAUGAUAGGUCCAGUUUCUUAUGAUUAAGAAAUACCAUAAGGUGAUCUUAAUAGCUACUUAAGAAACAUUCCAUACAAUUUAAACUGAUUUGUUUACCUCUUAGAAAACAAGAAUGAAGUUUCUGUAUGAUAAGCAAUAUUCUUUUUUUUUAAUUUUAUUAUUAUUAUACUUUAAGUUUUAGGAUACAUGUGCACAACGUGCAGGUUUGUUACAUAUGUAUACAUGUGCCAUGUUGGUGUGCUGCACCCAUUAACUCAUCAUUUAUAUUAGGUAUAUCUCCUAAUGCUAUCCCUCCCGCCUACCCCCACCCCACAACAGUCCCCAGUGUGUGAUGUUCCCCUUCCUGUGUCCAUGUGUUCUCAUUGUUCAGUUCCCACCUAUGAGUGAGAACAUGUGGUGUUUGGUUUUUUGUUCUUGCGAUAGUUUGCUGAGAAUGAUGGUUUCCAGUUUCAUCCAUGUCCCUGCAAAGGACAUGAACUCAUCAAUUUUUAUGGCUGCAUAGUAUUCCAUGGUGUAUAUGUGCCACAUUUUCUUAAUCCAAUCUAUUGUUGUUGGACAUUUAGGUUGGUUCCAAGUCUUUGCUAUUGUGAAUAGUGCCACAGUAAACAUACAUGUGCAUGUGUCUUUAUAGCAGCAUGAUUCAUAAUCCUUUGGGUAUAUACCCAGUAAUGCGAUGGCUGGAUCAAAUGGUAUUUCUAGUUCUAGAUCCCUGAGGAAUCGCCACACUGACUUCCACAAUGGUUGAACUAGUUGACAGUCCCACCAACAGUGUAAAAGUGUUCCUAUUUCUCCACAACCUCUCCAGCACCUGUUGUUUCCUGACUUUUUAAUGAUUGCCAUUCUAACUGGUGUGAGAUGGUAUCUCAUUGUGGUUUUGAUUUGCAUUUCUCUGAUGGCCAGUGAUGGUGAGCAUUUUUUCAUGUGUUUUUUGGCUACAUAAAUGUCUUCUUUUGAGAAGUGUCUAUUCAUAUCCUUUGCCCACUUUUUGAUGGGGUUGUUUGUUUUUUUCUUGUAAAUUUGUUGGAGUUCAUUGUAGAUUCUGGAUACUAGCCCUUUGUCAGAUGAGUAGGUUGCGAAAAUUUUCUCCCAUUUUGUAGGUUGCCUGUUCACUCUGAUGGUAGUUUCUUUUGCUGUGCAGAAGCUCUUUAGUUUAAUUAGAUCCCAUGUGUCAAUUUUGGCUUUUGUUGCCAUUGCUUUUGGUGUUUUCAACAUGAAGUCCUUGCCCAUGCCUAUGUCCUGAAUGGUAUUGCCUAGGUUUUCUUCUAGGGUUUUUAUGGUUUUAGGUCUAACAUUUAAGUCUUUAAUCCAUCUUGAAUUAAUUUUUGUAUAAGGUAUAAGGAAGGGAUCCAGUUUCAGCUUUCUACAUAUGGCUAGCCAGUUUUCCCAGCACCAUUUAUUAAAUAGGGAAUCCUUUCCCCAUUGCUUGUUUUUCUCAGGUUUGUCAAAGAUCAGAUAGUUGUAGAUAUGUGGCAUUAUUUCUGAGGGCUCUGUUCUGUUCCAUUGGUCUAUAUCUCUGUUUUGGUACCAGUACCAUGCUGUUUUGGUUGCUGUAGCUUUGUAGUAUAGUUUGAAGUCAGGUAGCAUGAUGCCUCCAGCUUUGUUCUUUUGGCUUAGGAUUGACUUGGCAAUGUGGGCUCUUUUUUGGUUCCAUAUGAACUUUAAAGUAGUUUUUUCCAAUUCUGUGAAGAAAGUCAUUGGUAGCUUGAUGGGGAUGGCAUUGAAUCUAUAAAUUACCUUGGGCAGUAUGGCCAUUUUCACGAUAUUGAUUCUUCCUACCCAUGAGCAUGGAAUGUUCUUCCAUUUGUUUGUAUCCUCUUUUAUUUCCUUGAGCAGUGGUUUGUAGUUCUCCUUGAAGAGGUCCUUCACAUCCCUUGUAAGUUGGAUUCCUAGUUAUUUUAUUCUCUUUGAAGCAAUUGUGAAUGGGAGUUAAUUCAUGAUUUGGCUCUCUGUUUGUCUGUUAUUGGUGUAUAAGAAUGCUUGCGAUUUUUGUACAUUGAUUUUGCAUCCUGAGACUUUGCUGAAGUUGCUUAUCAGCUUAAGGAGCUUUUGGGCUGAGCUGAUGGGGUUUUCUAGAUAUACAAUCACGUCAUCUGCAAACAGGGACAAUUUGACCUCCUCUUUUCCUAAUUGAAUACCCUUUAUUUCCUUCUCCUGCCUGAUCGCCCUGGCCAGAACUUCCAACACUAUGAGUGGUGAGAGAGGGCAUCCCUGUCUUGUGCCCGUUUUCAAAGGGAAUGCUUCCAGUUUUUGCCCAUUCAGUAUGAUAUUGGCUGUGGGUUUGUCAUAGAUAGCUUUUAUUAUUUUGAGAUACGUCCCAUCAAUACCUAAUUUAUUGAUAGUUUUUAGCAUGAACCAUUGUUGAAUUUUGUCAAAGGCCUUUUCUGCAUCUAUUGAGAUAAUCAUGUGGUUUUUGUCGUUGGUUCUGUUAUAUGCUGGAUUACAUUUAUUGAUUUGUGUAUGUUGAACCAGCCUUGCAUCCCAGGGAUGAAGCCCACUUGAUCAUGGUGGAUAAGCUUUUUGAUGUGCUGCUGGAUUCGGUUUGCCAGUAUUUUAUUGAGGAUUUUUGCAUCCAUGUUCAUCAAGGAUAUUGGUCUAAAAUUUUCUUUUUUGGUUAUGUCUCUGCCAGCCUUUGGUAUCAAGAUGAUGCUGGCCUCAUGAAAUGAGUUAGGGAGGAUUCCUUCUUUUUCUAUUGAUUGGAAUAGUUUCAGAAGGAAUGGUACAAAAAACCUUUCAAAAAAUUAAUGAAUCCAGGAGCUGGUUUUUUGAAAAGAUCAACAAAAUUGAUAGACUGCUAGCAAGACUAAUAAAGAAGAAAAGAAAGAAGAAUCAAAUAGACACAAUAAAAAAUGAUAAAGGGGAUGUCACCACCGAUCCCACAGAAAUACAAACUACCAUCAGAGAGUACUAUAAACACCUGUAUGCAAAUAAACUAGAAAAUCCUGAAGAAAUGGAUAAAUUCCUCGACACAUACAUCCUCCCAAGACUAAACCAGGAAGAAGUUGAAUCUCUGAAUAGACCAAUAACAGGCUCUGAAAUUGAGGCAAUAAUCAAUAGCUUACCAACCAAAAAAAGUCCAGGACCAGAUGGAUUCACAGCCGAAUUCUACCAGAGGUCCCUCCAAGAAUUUUUACAGCCCGUCGUCUUCACCAUGCAUUUUAACAAUUGGGAUCUCUCCUGUGAUGUUCACUAUUAGGUCAUGUGGGUUGGUUAAAUCUAGACUUAAGAGGCUCUGCUCCUCAGAAGUUGGACUUCUGAAAAAUGCUGAACGAGAACAAGAAUCAGAAGAAGAAAUGUGACUUUGAUGAGCUUCCAGUUUUUCUAGAUAAACCUUUUCUUUUUUACAUUGUCUUUGUUCUUGGUUUUGUUUCUUGAUCUUUUGUUUGGAGAACAGCUGGCUAAGGAUGACUCUAAGUGUACUGUUUGCAUUUCCAAUUUGAUUAAAGUAUUUGAAUUUAAAUAUUUUAUUUUUAGCUUCGAAAAUAUUUUGGGUGAUACUUUCAUUUUGCACAUCAUGCACAUCAUGGUAUUCAGGGGCUAGAGUGAUUUUUUUCUAGAUUAUCUAAAGUUGGAUGCCCACACUAUGAAAGAAAUAUUUGUUUUAUUUGCCUUAUAGAUAUGCUCAAGGUUACUGGGCUUGCUACUAUUUGUAACUCCUUGACCAUGGAAUUAUACUUGUUUAUCUUGUUGCUGCAAUGAGAAAUAAAUGAAUGUAUGUAUUUUGGUGCAGA